rnacentral:lncRNA from 1 species
CAAAUAUAAGGCAUGUUCACAAGUAUCUGAAGUUAUGUACAAAACACACUCAUUCGACAGAUAUUCCUAUUCUCCUUUUGUACUUGCUGCUGCAAACUGAUCUUUCUGCAUGUUAACACCCAUAGCGCUCAAUUCUUAUGGAUAUGCAGAGAAUGUUUUGGGGACCACCGUGGAGAACCUGUUUCAAACUAAGACGUAAGCUUCUUUGAACUAAGUCACUAAGACAUCAGAACUCACGGUGAACAAAGGCAGAGGAAGGUGACCAAAUCAGCUCAUAAUCUCAUGACUCUAAGUUUACAGUGGAACAAAGAACACAUUGAAAAACAUUUUUUGAUCCUUCAUGUUGGAGAGAAAUGGAAUGUGUCCAGAAUUCAUGGUUCUACAUUUAUCACUGUCUAAAAGUCACAAAACAAUAUCUAAUUUUUUCAUGGUUUCAAAUGCAGUUACAGUUUUGUUCUUAGGCCACAGUACAAGAUUGCAUGCAUUACUUUACACAAAUGUCAAACACAGAAUGAUUGUAACACAGACAGCUCAGGGUUGUCUAAAGACACAGCUUCUCUUUUUGUGGUGGGGUCGGGAAGGAGAAUGAUGGUGGCCAUUUCCAUACACAGCCUGUUGUGUGCUCAGCACGGCUGGAUGCGGAUCCCAAGAACUUGCUGACUGACUCACAGAAGAGGACAGAAGCUGCUGAGGAGGGCAGCAGAGUUCAAAGAGCAGUCUCCAACUGGGGGCUGGGAUGACGGACACAGAGCCUCGAUUCCAGGGGGAAAAAGUCUUAGUCAAUACUAAUUAAAAACUGUUAUCGAUUUUUGAAAAUCAGAUUACAUCUAUAAAAGAUGAAAAGUAAACACUUAAAACAAUCUAUUGAGGGGAACAUAAAAUAAUAAAAAAUGAAAUGCAGCUGGGAUUUCACAAAGAGGAGAUUUGAAUCUUUUGGUCUCAAUCAGCCAAUAUUUUAACAUUAACUAUAAAUUAUUAAAAUGUAGUUUGCUUAUGCCCAUUCUUAAAAUGCAGAAUCUUUGAGGAAAAAUAUAGGCAUAUUUUCAGGAAUACAGACUCUUGUGAAAAAUUUUAAAAGUCAGUAUCAUCUCUCUUGCGGAGCUACUGAACAGGUUUUUCAAACACAAAAGGGGAACAAACAUGGGGCGCUCACAGUACUUUCCAAAAGAAACUACCCACCUCAAAGAGCCCUGCACAGCCCAAGCGACCCAUGAGUGUGGUAGCCAUCAUUUUGUUAGCCACUGCUUGGCCAUCAUCAAAGUAUUCACUCAGAGUGGGGAAAUUACUUAAUAUCAAUGAUAUUAACGAUUUCCAUGGAUUUAGCUUUGUAACACACAAUGCACAAGGGUCUUCAGAUGUUUGCUUUUUACACCAAUGGUAG